rnacentral:rRNA from 1 species
CGUAUCAUGUCAGUAGAGCGGAUGAAUGUAGCUUGCUACUGGAUUCAGCGGCGGACGGGUGAGUAAUGCUUAUGAAUCUGCCGAUUAGUGGGGGACAACGUUCCCAAAGGAGCGCUAAUACCGCAUACGUCCUACGGGAGAAAGCAGGGGACCUUCGGGCCUUGCGCUAAUAGAUGAGCCUAAGUCGGAUUAGCUAGUUGGUAGGGUAAAGGCCUACCAAGGCGACGAUCUGUAGCGGGUCUGAGAGGAUGAUCCGCCACACUGGGACUGAGACACGGCCCAGACUCCUACGGGAGGCAGCAGUGGGGAAUAUUGGAUAAUGGGGGGAACCCUGAUCCAGCCAUGCCGCGUGUGUGAAGAAGGCCUUUUGGUUGUAAAGCACUUUAAGCGAGGAGGAGGCUACCUGGAUUAAUACUUUAGGAUAGUGGACGUUACUCGCAGAAUAAGCACCGGCUAACUCUGUGCCAGCAGCCGCGGUAAUACAGAGGGUGCGAGCGUUAAUCGGAUUUACUGGGCGUAAAGCGUGCGUAGGCGGCCAAUUAAGUCAAAUGUGAAAUCCCCGAGCUUAACUUGGGAAUUGCAUUCGAUACUGGUUGGCUAGAGUAUGGGAGAGGAUGGUAGAAUUCCAGGUGUAGCGGUGAAAUGCGUAGAGAUCUGGAGGAAUACCGAUGGCGAAGGCAGCCAUCUGGCCUAAUACUGACGCUGAGGUACGAAAGCAUGGGGAGCAAACAGGAUUAGAUACCCUGGUAGUCCAUGCCGUAAACGAUGUCUACUAGCCGUUGGGGCCCUUGAGGCUUUAGUGGCGCAGCUAACGCGAUAAGUAGACCGCCUGGGGAGUACGGUCGCAAGACUAAAACUCAAAUGAAUUGACGGGGGCCCGCACAAGCGGUGGAGCAUGUGGUUUAAUUCGAUGCAACGCGAAGAACCUUACCUGGCCUUGACAUACAGAGAACUUUCCAGAGAUGGAUUGGUGCCUUCGGGAACUCUGAUACAGGUGCUGCAUGGCUGUCGUCAGCUCGUGUCGUGAGAUGUUGGGUUAAGUCCCGCAACGAGCGCAACCCUUUUCCUUAUUUGCCAGCACUUCGGGUGGGAACUUUAAGGAUACUGCCAGUGACAAACUGGAAGAAGGCGGGGACGACGUCAAGUCAUCAUGGCCCUUACGGCCGGGGUUACCCCCGUGCUACAAUGG